rnacentral:rRNA from 1 species
GAUGAACGCUGGCGGCGUGCCUAAUACAUGCAAGUCGAGCGAACAGAUGAGGAGCUUGCUCCUCUGACGUUAGCGGCGGACGGGUGAGUAACACGUGGAUAACCUACCUAUAAGACUGGGAUAACUUCGGGAAACCGGAGCUAAUACCGGAUAAUAUAUUGAACCGCAUGGUUCAAUAGUGAAAGACGGUUUUGCUGUCACUUAUAGAUGGAUCCGCGCCGCAUUAGCUAGUAGGUAAGGUAACGGCUUACCAAGGCGACGAUGCGUAGCCGACCUGAGAGGGUGAUCGGCCACACUGGAACUGAGACACGGUCCAGACUCCUACGGGAGGCAGCAGUAGGGAAUCUUCCGCAAUGGGGGAAAGCCUGACGGAGCAACGCCGCGUGAGUGAUGAAGGUCUUCGGAUCGUAAAACUCUGUUAUUAGGGAAGAACAAAUGUGUAAGUAACUAUGCACGUCUUGACGGUACCUAAUCAGAAAGCCACGGCUAACUACGUG